rnacentral:tRNA from 1 species
GGUUCCAUAGUGUAGCGCGGUCAGCCCGUCUGCUUUACACGCAGAAGGUCCUGGGUUCGCGCCCCAGUGGAGCCA